CCACAAGAUCAUUUUUACAAAUGUCAAGCAAUUACCGAUACAGUUCUUACUAUAGUUAACCAUCACGAAGCAUAAGUAUUACUUGUUAGUCAUAUUGUGACUCACAAAGGAAUAAUUUGCCUAUAGGUACUCUACAACAGCAGUAGAUAGGUUUGGAUUUAUGGUCAGUAGUUUAGCAAUAUAAUUUUGUGAUCAGUG